rnacentral:rRNA from 1 species
GAUGAACGCUGGCGGCGUGCCUAAUACAUGCAAGUCGAGCGAACAGACGAGGAGCUUGCUCCUCUGACGUUAGCGGCGGACGGGUGAGUAACACGUGGAUAACCUACCUAUAAGACUGGGAGAACUUCGUGACACCGGAGCUAAUACCGGAUAAUAUAUUGAACCGCAUGGUUCAAUAGUGAAUGACGCUUUUGCUGUCACUUAUAGAUGGAUCCGCGCUGCAUUAGCUAGUUGGUAAGGUAACGGCUUACCAAGGCUACGAUGCGUAGCCGCCCUGAGAGGAUGAUCGGCCCAACUGGAACUGAGCAACGGUCCAGACUCCUACGGUAAGCAGCAGUAGGGAAUCUUCGGCAAUGGGCGAAAGCCUGACAGAGCGACGCCGUGUGGGUGAUGAAGGUCUGCGGGUAGUAAAGCACUGUUAUUAGGGAAGAAAAAAUGUGUAAGUAACUAUGCACGUAUUGACGGUACCUAAUCAAUAAGCAACGGCUAACUACGUG